CUUUUUUUAAGUCAAUAGAUAAAUAUUUCAUUAACAUAAAAGGGUUAUAUAGCUUUAAGCUAAAAGGAGCUCAGUCUACAGCAUAAAGACCCAAAAUUAGGCCCAAUUACAGGAGAACCCUACUCUAUUUGGGCAACCCAAAAGAAACCGGUGCAGAUCUGAAUCUUCUUGUUGCAGUGCUGGAGAGAAGGAAAAGUAAACCAAGAGAAGCUUAAGGAUAAAGCUCUUCAACCCAAAUGACAAGAAACGGCACUGAGGUCUGAUAAAGUCCCAAGGAAGCCAUAACCCAGUAAUAUUCUCCACAAAACAGCAAGAUCAAGAUAAGGAUUCUCUAGAGCAGUCCAUAAAAUCCAAAUCGUGCAUCGCCGGCUAAGCAAGCAACUCAAAGAGGGUGAUGAGGCAAAGCUCUAAAUGGCAACAUGCCUUGAAAGUCAGCCAUGAUGGUAGAUUCGACUAAGGACCCCUGAGAUGCCAUCAUCCCUUAAAAUGAUUACCCCUCCUAGAGCUAGAAAAAAGCACAAAUGGAGACCAUCCCUGCUUGCAAAACCCAUAAAAGAAGCAGAUCAAGAAAGCACUCACAAAUAACCAUAGAUUUGCCACCCAAAAAACCAAAUUUUAUGUAUCCACAAACCAUAUACGGAGAUGAGGAGGGAAAGACCCAUGUCCAGGCAAAGGAGAGGAGUCCAUCCCCUACCUGGAAAGGGCAGAGAAUGGCCAACGGGAGCUCAACAGGAGAGAGACAUUGAGUCUCAAAAAAUUACCCAAAACGAGAGAAAAGACGAGAGCUCUUCUAAUUACUCUUCUAUAAUAUUUGUGGCAUCAUCUAUGCCAGACAAGUUGUAAUGUAGUUUUGCUAGCCUUGGCUCCCAAAAGAGAGAGACAGUUCUGAAACAAGCCUAUAAAUACUUCUCAAAUCCCAAAACCCUGCCUAUAAAUACUUAUAAAACCCCAACACUCAUUCUAUCAUCAAUAUUUCAACAGCAAUAAGCAAAACCAAAAUGAAGUUUUGCAAGCUCUCAUUAGCACUCUCUUUUCUCCUUAGCACAGAACUAAUAAUCUUACCC
rnacentral:misc_RNA from 1 species